AUUGAACGCUGGCGGCAUGCCUUACACAUGCAAGUCGAACGGCAGCACGGGAGCAAUCCUGGUGGCGAGUGGCGAACGGGUGAGUAAAGUAUCGGAACGUGCCCAGUCGUAGGGGAUAACGUAGCGAAAGUUACGCUAAUACCGCAUACGAUCUAUGGAUGAAAGCGGGGGAUCGCAAGACCUCGCGCGAUUGGAGCGGCCGAUAUCAGAUUAGGUAGUUGGUGGGGUAAAGGCUCACCAAGCCGACGAUCUGUAGCUGGUCUGAGAGGACGACCAGCCACACUGGGACUGAGACACGGCCCAGACUCCUGCGGGAGGCAGCAGUGGGGAAUUUUGGACAAUGGGCGAAAGCCUGAUCCAGCCAUGCCGCGUGCAGGAUGAAGGCCUUCGGGUUGUAAACUGCUUUUGUACGGAACGAAAAGGUUUGGCCUAAUAAGCUGAGCUCAUGACGGUACCGUAAGAAUAAGCACCGGCUAACUACGUGCCAGCCGCCGCGGUAA
rnacentral:rRNA from 1 species